rnacentral:lncRNA from 1 species
GAGGCCCAGCCCCAGCUGUGGAGCAAAGGUGCACCUCCAGGAGCAUCUCCACCAAACCUCAACGAAGACCAUCCCCCCCACAGCAGGGGCGAGCUGGAACCCCCUGAGCUGACCGCCUGGGGCCUCCUUCGGCCCCUUUAACCAAGCACGGUGGAGCCCAGGCUAUCCUGUCCACGAUUGCACCGCAGACGGGCGCCUGAGUGCCCGCGAGCACACACUGCUUUCAGAUCUGACUGAAGGCCCCUGCAGCAGCCCUGUGCUGACAUCCAUUGCCCCAGCGAUAAAGACCUGGGUCCUCGGUCCCUCCACAGCAGCCUGCACCCAAGUCCCCUCGCUGAGCUCCAGCCACCGGCCCCGCUGGGCAAAGUGACCAUGUGAUACGGAGCUCCUGCCUCCCCGGAGUUGGAUGUUCCGUGGCUGCGUGUGCCCUACAGCAGCACGGUUCAGUAGGCAGAGGCCACUUCUACUACCCGGCUAAGGAAAAGAUGGGCAGAGCCUGCUCUGGAUGACGCUGUGUUCCAGCCGGCGGAGAGGGUCCCCCAUUUCCUCGGUAAGGAGGGUGACCUCCUCGCUCCAAUCGGGGACUGAGCUGAGCUGAGGACGAGCUGCCCUUUCCGUGAGCCUGUCUCUGUGUUGCUUGUUUCUAGGAACUAAUCCUCCAGGAAAUUAACAGACAGUUUGCUGUGGACAACUAGAGCCCUCCCCUUCCUUAGCCCUGAGCGAGGUAAACAAUUCUGCUCUGCCUUCCGGAAGUUUCAAAUUAGCUCUUCAACCAGCGUUUUCACGCAGCUUCCAGUCCUGCCACAGUCUUGAAGAAGAGAUCAGCUUUCCCGUCUUCAUUCUUGCCAAGAUUAGCUGCCCUUCGAAUCUCCCGUGUGUCAUUAAUCCCAGCACGAACAAGCACUUGGGAACUGCGGGCUGCAGAUGGUCUGCUUAUCCUACGGAACCCUCCUCUUUUGAGGCUUAACC